rnacentral:rRNA from 1 species
UAACCUGCCCAAGAGAUCGGGAUAACACCUGGAAACAGAUGCUAAUACCGGAUAACAACAGAUGAUGCCUAUCAACUGUUUAAAAGAUGGUUCUGCUAUCACUCUUGGAUGGACCUGCGGUGCAUUAGCUAGUUGGUAGGGUAACGGCUUACCAAGGCGAUGAUGCAUAGCCUAGUUGAGAGACUGAUCGGCCACAUUGGGACUGAGACACGGCCCAAACUCCUACGGGAGGCAGCAGCC